rnacentral:rRNA from 1 species
GACGAACGCUGGCGGCGUGCCUAAUACAUGCAAGUCGAACGCACUCUCGUUUAGAUUGAAGGAGUUUGCUCCUGAUUGAUAAACAUUUGAGUGAGUGGCGGACGGGUGAGUAACACGUGGGUAACCUGCCCUAAAGUGGGGGAUAACAUUUGGAAACAGAUGCUAAUACCGCAUAAAACCUAACACCGCAUGGUGUAGGGUUGAAAGAUGGUUUCGGCUAUCACUUUAGGAUGGACCCGCGGUGCAUUAGUUAGUUGGUGAGGUAAAGGCUCACCAAGACCGUAUUGCAUAGCCAACCUGGGGGGGAAAUCGGCCAACCGGGGACUGAAACACGGCCCAGACUCCUAGGGGGGGCAGCAGUGGGGAAUCUUCCAAAAUGGACGAAAGUCUGAGGGAGCAACGCCGGGUGAGUGAAGAAUGUUUUCGGAUCGAAAAACUUUUUUUUUGGAAAAGAAUGUAUCUGAUAGUAACUGAUCAGGUAGUGACGGUAUCCAACAAAAAAGCCACGGCUAACUACGU